rnacentral:rRNA from 1 species
UACGGGGGGAGCAAGCGUUGUUCGGAUUUACUGGGCGUAAAGGGCGCGUAGGCGGCGCCGCAAGUCGACUGUGAAAUCUCCGGGCUUAACCCGGAAAGGUCAGCCGAUACUGCGGGGCUAGAGUGCAGAAGGGGCAACUGGAAUUCUCGGUGUAGCGGUGAAAUGCGUAGAUAUCGAGAGGAACACCUGCGGCGAAGGCGGGUGCUGGGCUGACACUGACGCUGAGGCGCGAAAGCGUGGGGAGCAAACAGG